CAGGCCUAACACAUGCAAGUCGAACGGAUCCUUCGGGAUUAGUGGCGGACGGGUGAGUAACACGUGGGAACGUGCCCUUUGGUUCGGAACAACUCAGGGAAACUUGAGCUAAUACCGGAUGUGCCCUUCGGGGGAAAGAUUUAUCGCCAUUGGAGCGGCCCGCGUCUGAUUAGCUAGUUGGUGAGGUAAAGGCUCACCAAGGCGACGAUCAGUAGCUGGUCUGAGAGGAUGAUCAGCCACAUUGGGACUGAGACACGGCCCAAACUCCUACGGGAGGCAGCAGUGGGGAAUCUUGCGCAAUGGGCGAAAGCCUGACGCAGCCAUGCCGCGUGAAUGAUGAAGGUCUUAGGAUUGUAAAAUUCUUUCACCGGGGACGAUAAUGACGGUACCCGGAGAAGAAGCCCCGGCUAACUUCGUGCCAGCAGCCGCGGUAAUACGAAGGGGGCUAGCGUUGCUCGGAAUUACUGGGCGUAAAGGGAGCGUAGGCGGACUGUUUAGUCAGAGGUGAAAGCCCAGGGCUCAACCUUGGAAUUGCCUUUGGUACUGGCAGUCUUGAGUACGGAAGAGGUAUGUGGAACUCCGAGUGUAGAGGUGAAAUUCGUAGAUAUUCGGAAGAACACCAGUGGCGAAGGCGACAUACUGGUCCGUUACUGACGCUGAGGCUCGAAAGCGUGGGGAGCAAACAGGAUUAGAUACCCUGGUAGUCCACGCCGUAAACGAUGAGUGCUAGUUGUCGGCAUGCAUGCAUGU
rnacentral:rRNA from 1 species